UGCAUGAUGACCGACACAACAUCACAGACUUUGACGACCCCGUGAUAAGAAAUACUGUCGCCCCAGACUGACAC
rfam:Trypanosoma vivax Y486, WGS project CAEX01000000 data, contig: 2197